AAAAGAAUGAGUUCUCUCCACUCC
rnacentral:snRNA from 1 species